AGUGAACGCUGGCGGUAGGCCUAACACAUGCAAGUCGAACGGCAGCACAGGAGAGCUUGCUCUCUGGGUGGCGAGUGGCGGACGGGUGAGGAAUACAUCGGAAUCUACCUUUUCGUGGGGGAUAACGUAGGGAAACUUACGCUAAUACCGCAUACGACCUACGGGUGAACGUGGGGGACCGCAAGGCCUCACGCGAUUAGAUGAGCCGAUGUCCGAUUCGCUAGUUGGCGGGGUAAUGGCCCACCAAGGCGACGAUCGGUAGCUGGUCUGGUAGGAUGAUCAGCCACACUGGAACUGAGACACGGUCCAGACUCCUACGGGAGGCAGCAGUGGGGAAUAUUGGACAAUGGGCGCAAGCCUGAUCCAGCCAUUCCGCGUGGGUGAAGAAGGCCUUCGGGUUGUAAAGCCCUUUUGUUGGGAAAGAAAUCCUGUCGAUUAAUACUCGGUGGGGAUGACGGUACCCAAAGAAUAAGCACCGGCUAACUUCGUGCCAGCAGCCGCGGUAACAC
rnacentral:rRNA from 1 species